GAUGAACGCUGGCGGCGUGCCUAAUACAUGCAAGCCGAGCGAACAGACGAGGAGCUUGCUCCUCUGACGUUAGCGGCGGACGGGUGAGUAACACGUGGAUAACCUACCUAUAAGACUGGGAUAACUUCGGGAAACCGGAGCUAAUACCGGAUAAUAUAUUGAACCGCAUGGUUCAAUAGUGAAAGACGGUUUUGCUGUCACUUAUAGAUGGAUCCGCGCCGAAUUAGCUAGUUGGUAAGGUAACGGCUUACCAAGGCAACGAUGCGUAGCCGACCUGAGAGGGUGAUCGGCCACACUGGAACUGAGACACGGUCCAGACUCCUACGGGAGGCAGCAGUAGGGAAUCUUCCGCAAUGGGCGAAAGCCUGACGGAGCAACGCCGCGUGAGUGAUGAAGGUCUUCGGAUCGUAAAACUCUGUUAUUAGGGAAGAACAAAUGUGUAAGUAACUAUGCACGUCUUGACGGUACCUAAUCAGAAAGCCACGGCUAACUACGUG
rnacentral:rRNA from 1 species